CCUACGGGCGGCAGCAGUGGGGAAUAUUGGACAAUGGGCGAAAGCCUGAUCCAGCCAUGCCGCGUGUGUGAAGAAGGCCUUCGGGUUGUAAAGCACUUUCAGUGGGGAAGAAAGCCUUGGGGCUAAUACCCUCGAGGAAGGACAUCACCCACAGAAGAAGCACCGGCUAACUCCGUGCCAGCAGCCGCGGUAAUACGGAGGGUGCGAGCGUUAAUCGGAAUUACUGGGCGUAAAGCGCGCGUAGGCGGUCUGAUAAGCCGGUUGUGAAAGCCCCGGGCUCAACCUGGGAACGGCAUCCGGAACUGUCAGGCUAGAGAGCAGGAGAGGAAGGUAGAAUUCCCGGUGUAGCGGUGAAAUGCGUAGAGAUCGGGAGGAAUACCAGUGGCGAAGGCGGCCUUCUGGACUGACACUGACGCUGAGGUGCGAAAGCGUGGGUAGCAAACAGGAUUAGAUACCCGGGUAGUC
rnacentral:rRNA from 1 species